GGAGCCUUUGAGGGUGAUCUGGCUGUGACAUCUGUCACCCCAUUGAUCACCAGGGUUGAGUCAGCUGCUCUGGCUGGCUAGGCAAGUGACCCCUUCCUCCAUCACCACUCCAUGUGCGUCCCUCCCAAAGCUGCAUGCGCAGUGGAAGAGGACAAUGUCCCAGGUAUAGAAGGAGCAUACCGAGGGAGCCUCCCAAAUUCGGGAGGGCAGACAUCUGUUUCCACUCUGGGGAGUUGAAAAAAAUUGUUUUCUAUCCAGCCCA
rnacentral:snRNA from 11 species